GGGCAGGGCGGUGGUGUGGUAGCGGAGCGCCGGGCGCCGGCAGAGCGCGGGUAGCGGCGGCAGCAAUGCUCAACUGCUGGGGAGCUGCACUGGGCGCCGCCGUCUCCGUCCCCGUCCUCCUUUUCGUGGCAGCGCCCUACAUCAGGAGGUAUGUCGCUGGAGGACGGUGUAAGUCGACAGCAAAGAUGGAGGGGAAGGUGGUGAUAAUCACAGGAGCCAACACAGGCAUCGGGAAGGAGACUGCCAGAGACCUCGCACGGAGAGGUGCAAGGGUGAUCAUUGCUUGCAGAGACAUUGCAAAGGCAGAAGCUGCAGCCAGUGAAAUCCGAGCUGAGACAGGGAACCAGCAAGUCAUUGUGAAAAAGCUGGACUUGGCUGAUACGAAGUCCAUCCGCGAGUUUGCUGAGAAAUUUCUAGCAGAGGAGAAGGAACUCCAUAUUCUCAUUAAUAAUGCUGGGGUAAUGUUAUGCCCUUAUUCCAAGACUGCUGAUGGCUUUGAGAUGCAUAUGGGAGUCAAUCAUCUUGGUCAUUUUCUCUUGACUUUCCUCCUGCUGGAGCGUCUGAAGCAGUCUGCCCCAGCCCGCAUAGUGAACGUGUCCUCGCUGGCUCAUCACGGAGGCCGAAUCCGCUUCCAUGAUCUCCAUGGUGAGAAGAGCUACAACCGUGGCCUCGCCUACUGUCACAGCAAAUUGGCUAACGUGCUCUUCACCCGGGAGCUGGCGAGGCGGCUGCAAGGCACUAAAGUCACAGCAAAUGCUCUCCAUCCUGGUUCUGUCUCUUCUGAGUUGGUCCGGCAUUCAUUUGUAAUGACUUGGCUGUGGAAGAUAUUCUCCUUCUUCCUGAAGACACCUUGGGAAGGAGCUCAGACCAGUGUCUACUGUGCAGUAGCUGAGGAACUAGACUCUGUGACAGGACAGUAUUUCAGUGAUUGCCAGCCAGCAUACGUAUCUCCACGUGGCCGGGAUGACGAGACAGCAAGGAAGCUCUGGAGUGUGAGCUGUGAGCUCCUUGGCAUCCAGUGGGACUGAGCAGCGCAGACCUCCUGUGUACCUGUGAUGCUUCUCUGGGGAAGAGCACUGCUGAGAGACCUCAGGAGCAGAAUGCUGUACUUCAGCUGCCCCAAUGAUGGCUCUAUGGGCACAACCUACUUUGAAUUUCUGGAAUACUACACUUAAGAAUUGAGAUUUGAGACCGUAUCUUCUUUCAGAAAUGUUGAAUCAGUUUAUUUGGUGUUGCUAUUAUCUGCACCUGCCUUACUAAUGUAGAGAACUCAGUUCAGAUAACAUUUCAGAGUCCAUUUGUGUUCCUCCUUGUCACUCUACCUUUUUUCCCCUCCCUCUUUCCACUUCACCCUGAUUAUGAAGCUAAAUCAACAACUACAAUGUAGCAGUAGAAUGCUACCUAGCAUUGGAGACUAGGCUUGCUUUCUCUGUGCGAUUCUCUGAUCUUGAAAGUAGUUUUCAGGAGCAAGAGAAACCAUUUUUUAAAAAGCAGAAAGUGUCUCUAGCGUGAAAUAUUUUUGCCCUUGCAGGUCAAUUCUCUCUGCAAAGAAGUCUGACUGUAGAUUUAACUUAAGACAUAUUAAAUUACACAUUUCCAUAGAGAGACAACCACUCAUUUUGACCUUGAGCAAGUCAUUUAUACUUCUCAGCUGAUCUGUAAAAAAAUGAGGGAACUAAAGCUCAUUUAGCUGUGUCAAAGGGAAGCUUGUAAGGAAGAGUUAGAUUAACUAGCAAAGCUCUCUGAAGAGGAUUACUGAGUACACGUAUGAGGCUGAACUAGCUACCUAGCUGCUGGGAGGACUUCUAAAGAUGUGAUGUUCCAAUUGAUCUAAAUGUUGAGGACACGGUAGCAGAUUUGGCAUGAAAGAAAAAUUAUCCCCCUUCUAAUUACUUUGCUAAGCCUAGCCAAAAGCAAAAUGCAGAUCUAGAAAGAGACCCCCAGCUAUGCUGAAAUAAAAAUUAAACAGGAGAUACAUUAACAGUCACAAUAUUUUAUUCUCUUUUAUCACUGUAAACAAACCUUAGUCAUUAACAGAGAAGUUCUUUUUAACUGGCAGUAGUCAAUCCCUUUUUACUGACAAAAAUUCAAACCCCCUUGAUAAUUCCACUACUCGUGACACAAGGCAGUUAGUCAGGAUCAAAAUUCCAGGUUCUGCUGGUAUGAGAAAGAUCCCUAUGAUUCUGGGUUAAGAACAUCAAAUUACAGCAAACACUAUAUAAAGUGCAUCAGGUACAGUGCAAAGAGGUCAGGAAGAAAGGCAGGUACGGAGCUGACAUGUCUGCACAGCAAACUCCACUCUCUGUGCUCUGUACAGCUGAAGGAACUCGAGCAGAAAAGAAGGUGUUAACGGAAAUGCAGAUCUGGAUACCCACAAGCAGUAAAACCUCCUCCCCAUAAUUAGAGAUUUAAAAACGAUUGAAGACAUAGGUAGUGUCACGUUUUAGGAUUAGCCUAACAGCUGUAAGCUGAUGGAAAGCUACGUCAGUCUGGCCAAGGAAACAAAAGCUUUCAUUAGUACUGCUCACUAAUGAGAUAACGUAAAUCUGUGGUCAAGGGAUUCUGAAAGCUCCAUGUGGUCAUUUCUGACUGCUUUACUCAGACAUUUCUAGCUCUGCUCUAGUGAGCAGAGUGCCUCCAAAGAGAGGUGUUUGUGUCAGUGGGGCACUGCUCUUGAAACCCUGAAGAUGGACCGAAUCCUUUCCAAUACCAGGGAAGUCUGUUCUUUCAUUACAGUGAGCUUGGGGUUAGUGCAAAACUCUUACUUGACAGUCUCAAUUAUUUUAUGUAAUAAAACUAUUUACAAUUCGGUUACACUUCAGAAAACCUGUCAUUUCUUUUGAAGUAAACAACUUUUUAACAAAAAAGUGAAUUAGUUUUCCUACUUCUGCUGAAAUACAUGUAAACAGUAAAGACAAACUGUUGUGGAACGCCAUGUUUUGUUCUGGUUUUCUUUUUUUUGAAGGUCAUACUACUGUCUACCACACUUCUGCCAAUUUUUCACGUCCCAAUCACAGUUGCAGGGAAGCAGCUGCUUUUUUCAGCAUCCCUCAUUACACGGCCAUUACACGAAGACUGCUGCUUUUUUCAUAAAACUGAUUAACCUAACACUUCCAGAGCAAAGCCUGUCUAUACAGUAGGUCCAGUUUGGUGUUCUAUUGUACUUAACAGGGACAGAUUAUCCUGGUAAUAAAUAAAUAAAUCCCUGUGUGACAGGGAUAGAAGACCACCUGUUAAAUUUUGCCACAGCUUGCUUUAUCAAAUAUUCUCUGCUAUACCUGAUGAAAAACUGUGGAAGUUUACUGUCAACUACUCAGUCAUAAAGCUGCAUGACAACAAUUUUUUGGGUAUUGCCAUAGCAAAGAAAGAGGUACAUGAUUUUUCAGAUAUUUUAAAGGCUUAUUUUCCCUUUGUACUCCCCUUACAGCAUAUGCCCUUUAUAGCUUCAUUCAUCUAGUAAGGGCUGAAGUGCCAUAUGUAUGGCACACAUCACACAGUGUGACUGGUAAGUACAAAACCGGCUAUAAAGAAUCAGUUCCUACCUUUUCAAACAAACUAAAGAAACUGGGUACAUUGUACUAGUGAAGGGAAUAAAAAAAAAAAGUAGCAAUGGUUUGUAUAGAGGCUUAAAAAAAUCUCUGAAUUUUAGUCUUUGUAACCAAAGAUCUCUCCAAUCUUGAAAAAUUUUACAGGAAACCCAUAAUCAGAAAGUUUAUCCUCUAGGCUACAUUGAGUUGAUAAAAUUUUUCUCUCCUCUCUACAUGUUUUCUGGAUUAAAAAUAAAGCCCAUAUUAUUAAGUUCA